AUGAAGUACCCUUGCUUAUCAGACGCUAAGGAAGAGAAAUGUUGGAAGAAUAGAUCUACAAAAUAAUGAAAUCAGUGAAAACACAUCUACAAAACAAGGAAAUCAAUGAAAAAUAACCAAAAAAUCAAUGAUAAAAAUAAUAAUAGAUCUACAAAAUUAAAACAUUUCUACUAAAUAAACAAAGAGAUUAAUAAAAAAUGUAUUUUAAACAUCAUAUUUACAAAAUAAGAAUAGAUCUACAAAAAAAAAUAAAAAUAAAUGCACUUUAAAGAAGAUGAUUGGAAGAGAAAGAAAAUGACGAUAAUGAAGAGACAUAAUGAAAUGAAACCAAAGAAUAUUAUUGGGAGAUAAAGAUUGUUGGAAGAGAAAGAGAAAGUCAUAGACCUCAAUACUAAUUCAAAUGCAAUUUAAGGUGUAAGUGAAGGAAAAGGUGACAUGUGGCAAAUGAUAAGGUGAUAUGAGUUUUUUUCGUUAUGUAGGUAAUAAAUAUAAUCAAGAAAGAGCAAAUAUAAUAUGAAAAUGUACAUAUAAUUACCAUGAAACCAUUUAGGAGGGGAAAAAGUGAAGGAGAAGGUGAUAUGUGGCAAAUGAUAAGGUGAUAGGAGUUGUUUUUAUUAUUUUUAUUAUAUAGGAAGAAAGAGCAAAUAUAGUGUGAAAAUGUACAUAUGAUUACCAUGAAACCAUUCAGGAGGGAAAAAAGUGAAGGAGAAAGUGACAUGUGACAAAUGAUAAGGUGAUAGUAUAUGAUUACACAUUUAUAAAAAAAAAUAAGUUGUCAAUUAUUGACCGAUAAAUGUUUAGACUAAAUGUAAUCAAAAGUUAUUUAUACUGCUAUGUACUCAAUUUAGUGUACAAUAUACUUUAACAUAAUCAUUUCGACAAAGUUAAAUUAUCAAUUAAAGAGCUUGUGUACAACCCACACUUUAAAAUCUCGCUUACAUGUAAAUAGUUUUAUAUUGUUAGUCUUCGCAAAUAAAUUGCAACCUCUAAUAUGUUAUUUGAAAUUUAAUUGAAAACAUUCAGUUUACUUGAAAAACAUUUUAUUGUGUUACUAAAAUAAUACUUUGAACAUUAUUCAACAAUAAUAAUAGAAAUUUUCCUAUCAAACGAAUAAAAAAAGGUUACAUAACCAUUGUUACUAUUUGCAUUUGAAGCAAUUAUUAAUUUAGUGGUUAUAGACACUUUUUAAAAUCACACUAACAUUUAACUUUUACAUGAAUGUGUAGUCAUUUCAAGAUAAAUGAGUGUUUUACAUUGUAAUGAAAUAGACAAUUGUAAAAAAUAUUGAAAAUAGAAUGUGUUUGAUAUACUAAUAAUCAUGCCAGUGAUUCACAUUUGAGAAUAGAAAGUGUUAAUUGCAUAGGAAAAUAUAGUUCAUUUUUGUAUCUCAUUGAAUAUUUGCAGCAAAAGUUGAAGGUCCCAAAAAGUUGAAUAGAUGACAUAUUCUAAAAACAAAAAAAGUAGAAUUCCACUACUUUUGCUAACAUGAAAUCACAUGAUUAAAGGUUUAGGAUAAUUGAGUUGUAAAAAUUAGAUGAGGGUUCUUAUUCCACAUGAAACUUAACAUUUAAGUAAAAGUAUCCAAAGGUAAAAUCAAAGUAAGGAAAUACCAUAUAUAAAGUUGUUGUUGUUACAGUUAGCUUGCAACAAUUAUAAAUGGCACGAAAUAAUACUUACUGGCUGAGCCACGACCAGAUCGCUCUCUUUAAGAAGUUUCGUGGCACUGUCCAAAAUAUGCAAGAAGACUAUCUACCACACCGUCUCCAGGAUAAAACAAUUCAAAUCUUUCUUAUCGAAUUCUUACUGCACUGUAAGAACCGAUCUCAAAUACACCCCACCACAAUAUAGCUACCAGCGCCAAUUCUCG
rnacentral:lncRNA from 1 species